UGGGGAAUUUUGGACAAUGGGCGAAGCCUGAUCCAGCAAUGCCGCGUGUGUGAAGAAGGCCUUCGGGUUGUAAAGCACUUUUGUCCGGAAAGAAAUCCUUGGCUCUAAUACAGUCGGGGGAUGACGGUACCGGAAGAAUAAGCACCGGCUAACUACGUGCCAGCAGCCGCGGUAAUACGUAGGGUGCAAGCGUUAAUCGGAAUUACUGGGCGUAAAGCGUGCGCAGGCGGUUUGCUAAGACCGAUGUGAAAUCCCCGGGCUCAACCUGGGAACUGCAUUGGUGACUGGCAGGCUAGAGUAUGGCAGAGGGGGGUAGAAUUCCACGUGUAGCAGUGAAAUGCGUAGAGAUGUGGAGGAAUACCGAUGGCGAAGGCAGCCCCCUGGGCCAAUACUGACGCUCAUGCACGAAAGCGUGGGGAGCAAAACAGGAUUAGAUACCCUGGUAGUCCACGCCCUAAAACGAUGUCAACUAGUUGUUGGGGAUUCAUUUCCUUAGUAACGUAGCUAACGCGUGAAGUUGACCGCCUGGGGAGUACGGUCGCAAGAUUAAAACUUAAAUGAAUUGACGGGGUCAUAGCUGUUUCCU
rnacentral:rRNA from 1 species